AGGUACAGCCAUACCAGUCUGAAAGUGCCUGAUCUUGUCAGAUCUUAGCAUCCAUCCAGACUUGGGCAUGAUUAGUAAUCAUAUGGGAGACCAACUAGGAACCAAAGGUGUUUGUAUUAA